rnacentral:rRNA from 1 species
GAUGAACGCUAGCGGCAGGCUUAAUACAUGCAAGUCGUGGGGCAGCAUGAAGUAGCAAUACUUUGAUGGCGACCGGCAAACGGGUGCGGAACACGUACACAACCUUCCUUUUAGUGGGGAAUAGCCCAGAGAAAUUUGGAUUAAUACCCCGUAACAUAGCGAUGUGGCAUCACAUUGCUAUUAUAGCUUCGGCGCUAGAUGAUGGGUGUGCGUAUGAUUAGAUAGUUGGCGAGGUAACGGCUCACCAAGUCUACGAUCAUUAGCUGAUGUGAGAGCAUGAUCAGCCACACGGGCACUGAGACACGGGCCCGACUCCUGCGGGAGGCAGCAGUAAGGAAUAUUGGUCAAUGGACGAAAGUCUGAACCAGCCAUGCCGCGUGAAGGAUUAAGGUCCUCUGGAUUGUAAACUUCUCUUAUAUGGGACGAAAAAAGGUCUUUCUAGAUCACUUGACGGUACCAUAUGAAUAAGCACCGGCUAACUCCGUGCCAGCCGCCGCAGUAA